rnacentral:rRNA from 1 species
UACGAAGGGGGCUAGCGUUGCUCGGAAUCACUGGGCGUAAAGGGUGCGUAGGCGGGUUUUUAAGUCAGGGGUGAAAUCCUGGAGCUCAACUCCAGAACUGCCUUUGAUACUGAAGAUCUUGAGUCCGGGAGAGGUGAGUGGAACUCCGAGUGUAGAGGUGAAAUUCGUAGAUAUUCGGAAGAAACACCAGUGGCGAAGGCGGCUCACUGGCC